GACAGAGGCCCCAAGCGUUAGGCGGAAUCACUGGGCUUAAAGCGUGUGUAGGCGGAUCGUUAAGUGUCUUGUGAAAUCCCACGGCUCACCCGUGGAACUGCUGGGCAUACUAGCGAUCUUGGGCCAACUAGGGGCAGCCGGAACAAGCGGUGGAGCGGUGAAAUGCGUAGAUAUCGCUUGGAACGCCGAAGGUGAAAACAGGCUGCUGGGGUUGCGCCGACGCUGAGACACGAAAGCCAGGGGAGCAAACGGG
rnacentral:rRNA from 1 species